rnacentral:misc_RNA from 1 species
GAUGAAGAACGCAGUGAAAUGUGAUACUUGGUGUGAAUUGCAGAAUCCCGUGAACCAUCGAGUCUUUGAACGCAAGUUGCGCCCGAAGCCAUUAGGCCGAGGGCACGCCUGCCUGGGCGUCACACGUCGUUGCCCCCCCAUCUACUCCUUCGGGAUUGCGGGGGGCGGAUGAUGGCCUCCCGUGCGCCUCGUCGCGCGGUUGGCAUAAAUGCCAAGUCCUCGGCGACGCACGCCACGACAAUCGGUGGUUGCGAAACCUCGGUUGCCCGUCGUGUGCGGUCGUCGCGCAUCGAGGGCUCGAAAAAAUUGUCGGGCUCCGGCUCGGCUUUCAACGCGACCCCAGGUCAGGCGGGGUUACCCGCUGAAUUUAAGCAUAUCAAUAAGCGGAGGA